GACAUAAUUGGUUGACUGGUGAAUGCACAUAUAUAAUGUAAUUUAGAAUUAUCUUGCUUCUGUACUCAUAUCCAUUAGAUUUUGAACUAAUCACUUUCCUAGACAUGCUCCAUAAGACUACAUUAUUUUAUCACCAUCAAAAGUAUGCUAAAGUAGCAAACAUUAUAUCAUCACAUCAGAAUAUAGUCAAAAAUUUCUAAGGGCACCAAUCAUAGAAUUCCAUACCAGUCCGAAU
rnacentral:lncRNA from 1 species